UACGAAGGGGGCUAGCGUUGCUCGGAAUCACUGGGCGUAAAGCGCACGUAGGCGGAUCUUUAAGUCAGAGGUGAAAUCCCAAGGCUCAACCUUGGAACUGCCUUUGAUACUGGGGAUCUCGAGUCCGGAAGAGGUGAGUGGAACUGCGAGUGUAGAGGCGAAAUUCGUAGAUAUUCGCAAGAACACCAGUGGCGAAGGCGGCUCACUGGUCCGGUACUGACGCUGAGGUGCGAAAGCGUGGGGAGCAAACAGG
rnacentral:rRNA from 1 species